rnacentral:tRNA from 2 species
GCGCCCUUAGCUCAGCUGGAUAGAGCAACGGACUUCUAAUCCGUGUGCCCCAGGUUCGAAUCCUGGAGGGCGCGCCA